rnacentral:sRNA from 1 species
UGAAUAUAUUAUGCACGAGUCGUUACCUAGUACCAAAUGAACUAUGUGUUAUUUUUCAACAAAGAGAAGUUUGUGUAUUUUUUGGAUAAAAGAGAAGUUUAUGUUAAGAAGUUGAAUUAAAGAAAACUGAUCUCGAAAGCUCCUCCCCAAAUAAUGAUGAGGAAUCAAAAUGGGCAUCACUCAAACAGCUGCAUAUCGAACUCUGCUUGAAGACUGCUGGUUCUGGUGUAAGACGAGGAGUGGAGGGAGGAGAGACAAUUUUUUCCAGUCUUAUCACAGUCUAACGAUGAUGCCAAAAAGAAAGGCUAUGCACUUAAGAUGCGCCAAGAUCCUCCGGAACUAGGAGAACACUACGGUGAUAUAAAAAUAAAGGCGACAGAUGGUUAUGAAGGCUUAUGAGCUGGCAUACUUCUCUGAUUUUUUUUUAUAUUGGUUUUAGCACGAGAGUUUGUUAGGGUAUAUUGGGUAAGCAUGAAUGUAUAACAGUAAGUGAACCUAAAAGCAAUAAAAAAAACUCUUGGGAUAACAUUCAAGAUGAAGUAAAUUGAGUUUUUUUUGUUAAGAUGAUAGCAUCUACAUUCAAAAUGUGUUAAUACUCCAUGAAUAAUAAUACCAAGUUUAAUUUUCUGGAGCUCAUGUUUUAUCUAAAGAGAACGAUGCGCAUGACAUUCACCUAAAAAAACUUUGGACUAAGUCAAGAAGCUUCGACCAAUUUGCUUUAGGUUCAACCUGAGAGAGAAUAAGCUAUGAGAGUUUCAACAUAGCAGAGCAGUGAGUGCCACAAGAAACAU